rnacentral:rRNA from 1 species
UUUCGGGCAUAGUGGCGCACGGGUGCGUAACGCGUGGGAAUCUGCCCCUUGGUUCGGAAUAACUCAGAGAAAUUUGAGCUAAUACCGGAUGACGACGUAAGUCCAAAGAUUUAUCGCCGAGGGAUGAGCCCGCGUAGGAUUAGCUAGUUGGUGGGGUAAAGGCCUACCAAGGCGACGAUCCUUAGCUGGUCUGAGAGGAUGAUCAGCCACACUGGGACUGAGACACGGCCCAGACUCCUACGGGAGGCAGCAGUGGGGAGUAUUGGACAAUGGGCGAAAGCCUGAUCCAGCAAUGCCGCGUGAGUGAUGAAGGCCUUAGGGUUGUAAAGCUCUUUUACCCGGGAUGAUAAUGACAGUACCGGGAGAAUAAGCUCCGGCUAACUCCGUGCCAGCAGCCGCGGUAAUACGGAGGGAGCUAGCGUUGUUCGGAAUUACUGGGCGUAAAGCGCACGUAGGCGGCUUUGUAAGUUAGAGGUGAAAGCCUGGAGCUCAACUCCAGAACUGCCUUUGAUACUGCAUGGCUUGAAUCCAAGAGAGGUGAGUGGAAUUCCGAGUGUAGAGGUGAAAUUCGUAGAUAUUCGGAAGAACACCAGUGGCGAAGGCGGCUCACUGGCUUGGUAUUGACGCUGAGGUGCGAAAGCGUGGGGGGCAAACAGGAUUAGAUACCCUGGUAGUCCACGCCGUAAACGAUGAUAACUAGCUGUCGGGGCACUUGGUGUUUCGGUGGCGCAGCU